UUUUGGAAUUUAUUUUCAAUUGUUGCACUAUAAUUCAAGGUAUACAAUCUGAUUUUGAAUUAGUGUUACCAAAUAAUUUUAAAGCCAUUCAAAAUUUUCAACUAUGGUUUUGUAUCUCCAUAUCCAAUGGAUUUUUUAUUUCUGAUUCUAUAUCUAAAAUUAGUUUAUAAACUCUCUCAAUAUGGAAGAAUAAAGAAUGAAAAGUGAAGAAUAAGGAAUAAAACCCUUCAAAGUUUCAAAACCCUAACCCUAACUUAAUUUAAUCUAAGGAUAUAUCAUCUACUUCCUUAUGUUGGCAAAUUUGAAUUGCUUGAAAUCUUGUGGGAUACAAGGCAAUAAUUCUCACUUCUUUUCUUUUCAAGGAAUGUUGAUAGAACAUUGCCUUGGAAUUAAUUAGGUUUUGCAAAGAAGUUGAGAAAGAGCUGUUAAUUAUAGGGAGUUAAUUUAUGCCCAUACUAGUUCAAAAAAAUAAAAUAAAAAAAUCAUGCCCAUACAAAAAUUUACCAAUAAAAGGCAAUGAAUUGAAGGUUGUUUUAUAAAUUUGGUUUUUAUUUUGAGAAGAACCACAAUCUGAUUUUUAUUUUAUUUUUUUUAAAUUAGGUUUCUUUUGGUUGUGUUUAUAUACGUAUGCAUAUAUAUAUAUAUAUAUAUAUAUAUAACUAUCUAUAAAAGAAGCAAAACUUGAGUCUAACAACAGUUCAUCUAAGAAAGAGGAAAUUGCGAAAUCACCCUCAUUGAAGAUUGCUAGGGAAGCUAUGAUGACACUGGCUGACCUCUAUUCUGUGCUUCUCCAGCAAGCUCUUCAUCAAUUCCAGCCACCUGUGCCCUUACAGAUUAAGUGGUGUGCUUUUCACCCAAGCUUGUUUCUCAAGUCGUGAGAUAUUAAGAGUUUGCAUUUGGGCUGAACUCUGUAUGCUUUUUUCUUUCACAAACCAGCUGCAAAUCCAAACAAUCUGAGAUGGGCCUGCUUAAAUGCCUAGGCCAAGUCUAACAAAAUUGUGCAGGUACUAUGAGACCGGACCUUAUUAUUCUCAUCUCUUUGGAGUUUUUAUUAUCUGCUCUGUUUUUAUUAUGGAUGGGGUGCUUCUAUUUACACCCGAAAAGCAAUUCUUUACACCCCUCAUUUAACCAUGUACACUCAAAAUCAGAAACACUAACCUUUAUAUAUCAUUUUUAUUUUUCUGUUAAUAUUUUUAAAAAUAUUUUAAUAACAAUUUAAACUGAUAUCCUUUCUGAAAACUGUCUGGAAACUGAUAUCCUUUCUGAAAAUUGUCUAUAAAUAGAGGAACUAUUGUUCCCUCAAAACAUUCACUUCUUUUGAAUAUUGCAUCACAUGUUCACAUGCAAAGAUCUACAAU